UUUGAACUAUCCUGAAAAUACAUCAGCCAAACCACUGAUUUAUUAAUCUCACAAAUGAAAUCUCAAGGGCGUUUAGGGCGCUGAGUUGGGUUAGAAUACAUGCAAAGAAUUAAACAUUAGAAUUCAGUGUUCUAAGAUCAACCUCAAUGGACUUAGCAGAUUCUACAGAAAUCCCAAGAAAGAAACUAAGAUAAUUGAGAGGAAAAAGGGGAUAACCUCUAAAGUCUGUAAUCGCAGGGCCUUGUGUGAAAGCAGGAGGCCAUCUUUUUCAUCCCAAGACGGGAAAGAGAGAAUUGACAAGGACAUAACACACCAUCUCUUUUAAGUGGUACACUUGCACAGUUUAACAUCACAGUCCAUUGCCCCACAUGUCUAUAAACCUUCGAGCUUCCAUGGAAUUGUCCAAAUGCGUCCAUAUAAAAGGCACUCAAAUCAUGUGCAAUUUGCACUCAUUGUGGAAGAAAAAGAGGCAUCAACAAUAUAAGGUUACCUUAUAAAACAAGAGAGUUUGGGAUGGCUGUGAAUUGCAGAUUUCUGGUGUUUGUGGCUCUGUUUCUGCUUUGUUUUGCCUCAACCACUGUUACAGGGAGAAGCAUGAGUUGUAUUUAUGGAGGAAGGAGAUGAAAGGCCUGAAGAUCUAUUAGUGCAUACAAACAAGGACAAGAAGAUGGAAGGCAGUGAUCAGUUGGUGGUAAUGGAUUACACUCCUGCUUUAAAGAGGCCUCCAAUCCACAACUGAGAUUAGUUACACCAAAUCAAGCUUGUUGCUGAUUAUCAUACUGUCACUGACAUGCUUCUAAUCCAUCACAAAUGAAGCAUAGAACUCGAUUUUAGUUGAACCAUUACAAUGAAAAUCCAGAUAAAAAUUUGAUCAGAUAUGCUUCCAAUGUUUUCUGACUAGUAAUUAUAUUCAUUCCUAAUUGUACAUAUUAUUUUCAUUCGAACAACACAGUGGAAAUAUCUAAUCUAAUUCUGAUC